rnacentral:tRNA from 1 species
AAUUAAUAAGCUUUUUAAAAGCAUUUGUUUUGAAAACUUAAGAAAGAAGAAUAACUUCUAUUAAUUU